UACAGUGCAGUGCAGUACAAUCAUGCGAUAUGAUAUUAUACCAUACAAUACGAUACGAUACAAUGUGAUAUGUUCGUAAAACAAUACUAUACUAUACGAUAUAAUGUGAUAUGAUAGUGUACGAUACGAUAUAAUGUGAUAUGAUAGUAAACGAUACGAUGCGAUACGAUACGAUACAAUGUGAUUUGAUAGUAAAAGAUACAAUACAAUGCUGUAUAGUACGAUAUGAUACAAUACAGCACUAUAGAAUAGCAAAUUAUAUGAUUUCUUAUUCAUGUGCCUUUCCCAGUGUGAGUGAGUUCAGUCAUCAGUUUGAUCACAUGAGAGAGGAGCAGGCAGAGGAGGUCCUCAAAUUCUUCAUCCUGCCCUUCCUGUCCAGAAACUCCUCAGACUCUGGAUGCAUCUCCAACAACAGCAUGGCAUGGCUUCUCAACAACUAUGGGAGAUUCUCUGUCCUCGUCCCACUUAAAAGUCUAUUUGAUCUCAAUAAGGACUUUGAUCCAGUAUGUGUGUUUUCUGUUAUUCAAUCUCUACUUUCUCAGCAUGCAGAUUUUGAUUCUCUUCAAGUGCAUACAGGCAUCUAGCCAUGGUCUUAAUUGUAAUCAUUUGAAAUACUUUUCUCUUUUUUUCUUUCUCCUCUCUCUCUUCUUCUCUCUCUCUCUCCUUCCCUCUCUCUCUCACUCUCUCUCUCUAUGGCAGCUGGCAGUAUUGGAUCUUCUCAGUUCUAAGCAGACGGCUGAGUUGAUGGUUCUGCCUCUCCCUCAUCCCCAAGGCAAAGAUGAGGUCAUCAACAGAGUGCUGGAUCACCUGCUGGAGUCACCAGUGGAGCGGAACCUUCCAGAAGUUCUGUAUCACGUCGUCUUCCUCUCCACACAGCUUGAACCACCUUGUGAGUUCUAUCAAGCAAUAAUCCCGAGGCUAAGAGAAUCGUUGACGUCAGUACCAGGAGAUCUGGAGCCAAUCAUCAGUGGAGCUGUGGCAGGACUACUCGUACUUACUCCAACAGGUCUGUGCCUAACACACAGACACACACACACACACACACACACACACACACUAUUCUUACUUUUUUCCUGUCUU
rnacentral:lncRNA from 1 species